CGGAUCUCUUGGCUCUCGCAUCGAUGAAGAACGCAGCGAAAUGCGAUAAGUAAUGUGAAUUGCAGAAUUCAGUGAAUCAUCGAAUCUUUGAACGCACCUUGCGCUCCUUGGUAUUCCGAGGAGCAUGCCUGUUUGAGUGUCAU
rnacentral:rRNA from 1 species